rnacentral:rRNA from 1 species
GAUGAACGCUGACAGAAUGCUUAACACAUGCAAGUCUUUGGCGAAGCUGUGCUUGCACAGCCUAGCCAAGGCGGACGGGUGAGUAACGCGUAAGGAACUUGCCCUGCAGUCAGGGAUAACAGACGGAAACGACUGAUAAGACCUGGUAAAGUCAGGCGGACUCAUGUCCAGCCUGAUGAAAAGAGAUGCUGCAGGAGAGCCUUGCGUCCUAUUAGCUUGUUGGUGGGGUAACGGCCCACCAAGGCGAUGAUAGGUAGCCGGCCUGAGAGGGUGGACGGCCACAAGGGGGCUGGGAUACGGCCCUUACUCCUACGGGAGGCAGCAGUGGGGAAUAUUGGACAAUGGGGGCAACCCUGAUCCAGCAAUUCUGUGUGCACGAUGAAGGUUUUCGGAUUGUAAAGUGCUUUCAGCAGGGAAGAAAAAAAUGACGGUACCUGCAGAAGAAGCGACGGCUAAAUACGUG